rnacentral:rRNA from 1 species
UAAGCCUGGGAAACUGGGUCUAAUACCGGAUAUGACCACAGGAUGCAUGUUUUGUGGUGGAAAGGUUUACYGGUGCAGGAUGAGCCCGCGGCCUAUCAGCUUGUUGGUGGGGUAAUGGCCUACCAAGGCGACGACGGGUAGCCGGCCUGAGAGGGCGACCGGCCACACUGGGACUGAGACACGGCCCAGACUCCUACGGGAGGCAGCAGUGGGGAAUAUUGCACAAUGGGCGAAAGCCUGAUGCAGCGACGCCGCGUGAGGGAUGACGGCCUUCGGGUUGUAAACCUCUUUCAGCAGGGACGAAGCGCAAGUGACUGUACCUGCAGAAGAAGCACCGGCUAACUACGUGCCAGCAGCCGCGGUAAUACGUAGGGUGCGAGCGUUGUCCGGAAUUACUGGGCGUAAAGAGUUCGUAGGCGGUUUUGUCGCGUCGUGUGUGAAAUCCCGCAGCUCAACUGCGGGCUUGCAGGCGAUACGGGCAGACUUGAGUACUGCAGGGGAGACUGGAAUUCCUGGUGUAGCGGUGAAAUGCGCAGAUAUCAGGAGGAACACCGGUGGCGAAGGCGGGUCUCUGGGCAGUAACUGACGCUGAGGAACGAAAGCGUGGGUAGCGAACAGGAUUAGAUACCCUGGUAGUCCACGCCGUAAACGGUGGGCGCUAGGUGUGGGUUUCCUUCCACGGGAUCCGUGCCGUAGCUAACGCAUUAAGCGCCCCCGGCUUGGGGAGUACGGCCGCAAGGCUAAAACUCAAAGGAAUUGACGGGGNGCCCGCACAAGCGGCGGAGCAUGUGGAUUAAUUCGAUGCAACGCGAAGAACCUUACCUGGGUUUGACAUAUACCGGACGACUGCAGAGAUGUGGUUUCCCUUGUGGUCGGUAUACAGGUGGUGCAUGGCNGUCGUCAGCUCGUGUCGUGAGAUGUUGGGUUAAGUCCCGCAACGAGCGCAACCCUUGUCUUAUGUUGCCAGCACGUAAUGGUGGGGACUCGUAAGAGACUGCCGGGGUCAACUCGGAGGAAGGUGGGGACGACGUCAAGUCAUCAUGCCCCUUAUGUCCAGGGCUUCACACAUGCUACAAUGGUCGGUACAGAGGGCUGCGAUACCGUGAGGUGGAGCGAAUCCCUUAAAGCCGGUCUCAGUUCGGAUCGGGGUCUGCAACUCGACCCCGUGAAGUCGGAGUCGCUAGUAAUCGCAGAUCAGCAACGCUGCGGUGAAU